rnacentral:pre_miRNA from 1 species
UGUUAAAAAUUUCAUCCAUUUAUAAUAACUUUGCUGAUAGAAUAAUUAAACAGUGAUACAUUGUAUGCCAUAUGUAUCUUAUGUUGAUGUACAAAAACUAAUUUUUAUUAAUAAAAAUGGAUGAAAUUUUUAAUA